rnacentral:ncRNA from 2 species
CUAACCGAGGAGCGCUGCGACAGGGUUCCCUGCCAGGCUCGGUUUUCGCGCACUGCGCGGCAAGAACGGCGCUCACCUGUC